rnacentral:rRNA from 1 species
UACGUAUGGUGCAAGCGUUAUCCGGAUUUACUGGGUGUAAAGGGAGCGCAGGCGGCGCGUUAAGCCUGGUGUGAAAGCCCGCGGCCCAACCGCGGGACUGCAUUGGGAACUGGCGCGCUGAAGUGCCGGAGGGGUAGGCGGAAUUCCUAGUGUAGCGGUGAAAUGCGUAGAUAUUAGGAGGAACACCAGUGGCGAAGGCGGCCUACUGGACGGUGACUGACGCUGAGGCUCGAAAGCGUGGGGAGCAAACAGG